CCUGGCAACUUGAAUUUGGUUCUGUCUACCCUGACUCUGGGAGCUGCUUAUUGCAGCCAACCUGCAGCUGCUCUGCUGAGUUCCAAGCUCAGUUGGCCCCUCUCCAAAAAUGCUGCCAGCCAAUCACCUUCUCCUUGGGGAUGUCUGAAGCUGAAUAACUCACCAGCCACUGCAGUCCGCUGUGUCCACUGCUCUGUUCCACAGUGCCGGAGAUGGAACCUAGGACCUUGUGCAACUGAGGUAAGUACUGUACCACCGAGCUACAUCCUCAACCUAAAUGCUGAAUUUGAGGCUGAACAUGCAGCAGUGAACAAAACAGGCAGGGACAGAUAGACAAUAACUAAGCACAUCAAUCCAUGAGAUAAUUCUGCUAAGGGAAUAAAGGAGACAAGUAUAACAGAAGAAAUAAAAGUUGUAACGAUGAACUGAAGGGCGGUUAUGGGGCCAAGUAGAGAAGAGAGUUCAGGGAAACUUACAUCUGAGCUGUAAUCUGACUGAGGGGACAGCAUUGCCAAAAGGUAGGUAAGAGGAAGGGGUCCCAGGCACAGCUGUUGUGAGGAAUAACUGAGACAAUGACUGAAAAGUGCUGAACUUGAUGGUAAGCAGCCACUCAGAAGCCAGCUGCUAUUCUUUUUUUGGUACUGGGGAUCGAACUCAGGACCAUGCACUUGCAUGGCAGGCCCUGGAACCACUGAGCUAAAUCCCUGGUCCCCAGCUGCUAUUCUUAUUACCUCAUCCACUUUACUCUAGCCUUUUUAUUCAAACAAAGCAAGGCUUGCCAACCCAUAGGUCAAAGGAAGAUAUAGAGAGAUACCAUAUUUCUCAAGAAAAGUUCAGGUUCUGGACUUAUUAGUAGAUUCCACAGGUCUGAAUUUUAGGCCUAUGCCAGUGGGGCACUAUCCCAACCUCACUUGUUGUCAACUCCACUUUUUCCUCAGGAAAGAUACCAGACAGAAAUAUUAACUCCUCAAACCCCUAAUCCCACUAUUAGAAAUAUAGACUUUGAAAAAGCUUCUUAAACUGGGUGAGGUGGUGCAGCAUGCCUAUAAUCCUAGGAUUUGGGAGGCUGAGGCAGGAAGAUCACCAGGAGUUUAAGGCCAGCCUGGACUACAUAGCAAGACUCAGUAUCAAUUAAAAAAAUAAAAUAAAUAAAGCCUCUUAAUUUGAUAUAACUGAUAUGCAUGUGUAUCUGAGGAAGUACUCAUUAAUUACAUCAGUUGUGUGUGUGUGUAUGUGUGUGUGUGUGUGUUUGUGUGUGUGUGUGGGUACUGGGGACUGAACCCAGGGCUUUCAUACUAACCUAUAUCCAUAACCCUUUAAAAAAUUUUUUUGAGGCCGGGGAUUUAGCUUGGUGCUGCUGCCUGCCUCAAAAGCGCAAGGUCUCGAGUUCAAUUCCCCUCCCAAAAAAAGAAUUUUUUUGAGACUAAAUCUGACUAAAUUGCUAAAUUACCUGGGCUGGGCUUAAACUUGCCAUCCUCCUGCCUUGCCCUCCCAGAGUGCUGGCAUCAUAGGCACGUGCCACCAGGCCAGGCUUCAUUAUUCCCAUCUUUUCGUCUUUGGAGUUGUAUGUCUUUGGUCAAACUGGUGUAAGGUACUACUCUGGAUUAGAUGGUGAGGAGAAAACUUCAGAAUGUAAACAGAAAGCUUCCAGUUACAUGAUUAACAUAAAACUCAUCUAAGGAUAUUAAAAAAUGCAUUAUAGACAUUUAAGGGUUCAAAACAUCAGCUGUGGCCUUAGGGACAUUCCAUAAACUAACAACUAUUACUAUUAUUACUGAGUCUCAUUUCUUGUUCCCCUUCCCCUUUUUUUCCCUUGUCUUCUGAUACUUUUGUUUUCUUUCCUUCUCUUCUGUCUUGCUAUGUAGUUCGGGGUGACUUUGAACUCACUUGUAGCCCAGGCUGGCCUCGAACUUGUGGCAAUCCUCCUGCCUCAGCCUCCUAAGUGCUGGGAUUACUGGUGUGUGGCACCAUGCUUAGGUGCCCUUCCCUUUUGAAAAAGAUCUCCCUACUU
ensembl:lncRNA